UCCAGCUCAGUAUCAAAUCACCUGAUAAUCUUUUUUGUUUUCAACUAGAAGUAAAUUGUCUACUGAAUUUCCUAUAGACUCAUGAAUAAAGGUACUGUGAAAAUAACCGCUACAAUCACUCUAAGCUAUAUUCACCAAGCCAGUCUUCCCUGCUGCAAAAUUCAGCAUCCUCAAAAAGCCUUUCUUCCACAACAGCCAAGCACAGAACACUAAAGCUACAUAGUUAAGUUUGCAAUUUCUGGUCUUCCUGGAGAGCAUUGAGACUUACUUGGUUUUUUUUCAGAAAGCACGCAUGAAGGGUAUUCCCAGAGGAGAAAGUUUGAAAGUGAUAUAUGGAAACUACAGCUAAGCACAUAAGCUCAAGCAGGAAAUGCCUGAAAAUAGGUACGGCUUAAGAACUACAAAUGGAUGAUGACAUGAAAAAUAAAGCAAGAGGAAUACACAGAUCUUUUCAUAAUAUUUGAUUGUGCUCAGAGGAUAUUGGCCUGAUCCAAUGAUCUGGAUUUCCCUCACACUGGAAUCAUGAUGUAUGUUGUCUUAGCUGAAAAAAAAUGACAUCAGAUCAAAAGAACAGACAGAUGAAAAAGAAGUUAAGAGCGAAAAACCUGGGAGAGAAUUCAAGCUCAGCAAUGCUGCCUGUAAUGUCUGUAAUCCAGGAGAGAAAAAGCAUCAGUGAUAGAACCAAGGUAAGAACAAGAAAGCAGCCUACAGCUGGACAUCAAACAACUGCUAUAAAGGCACAGAACUGUUUUUAUUUCAAAUCAAAAAGCCACUUAACUAAGAGAAAAGAAGAAUUUUAAGAGAAAAAAAAAUCAGAACACAACAGAGACAAAGAGCAAGGUGGGAAAAAAAAUAAAAACAAC